rnacentral:rRNA from 1 species
CCUACGGUAGGCAGCAGUGGGGAAUCUUGCACAAUGGAGGAAACUCUGAUGCAGCGAUGCCGCGUGAGUGAAGAAGGCCUUUGGGUUGUAAAGCUCUUUUGUAGGGGAAGAUAAUGACUGUACCCUAAGAAUAAGGUCCGGCUAACUUCGUGCCAGCAGCCGCGGUAAUACGAAGGGACCUAGCGUAGUUCGGAAUUACUGGGCGUAAAGCGCGCGUAGGCCGUUGAGUUAGUUAAUUGUGAAAUCCCAAAGCUUAACUUUGGAACUGCAAUUAAAACUGCUCGACUAGAGUUUGAUAGAGGAAAGCGGAAUAUAUAGUGUAGAGGUGAAAUUCGUAGAUAUUAUGUAGAACACCAGUUGCGAAGGCGGCUUUCUGGAUCAACACUGACGCUGAGGCGCGAAAGUAUGGGUAGCAAAGAGGAUUAGAUACCCUCGUAGUCCAUACCAUAAACGAUGAUUGCUAGAUGUUGGAAAUUUAUUUUCAGUAUCGCAGCUAACGCAUUAAGCAAUCCGCCUGGGGAUACGACCGCAAGGUUAAAACCUUAAAUGAAUUGACCGGNNGNGANGCGAGCGACACGAGGAGAG